rnacentral:misc_RNA from 1 species
UUUCCGUAGGUGAACCUGCGGAAGGAUCAUUACAGAGUUCGUGCCCUUCGGGGUAGACCUCCCACCCUUUGUGAACCAAACUUGUUGCUUCGGGGGCGACCCUGCCGCUUCGGCGGUGCGGCGCCCCCGGAGGCCAUUAAACACUGCAUCAUUGCGUCGGAGUUAAAGUAAAUUAAACAAAACUUUCAACAACGGAUCUCUUGGUUCCAGCAUCGAUGAAGAACGCAGC